rnacentral:rRNA from 1 species
ACGGGUGAGUAAUGCCUAGGAAUCUGCCUGGUAGUGGGGGACAACGUCUCGAAAGGGACGCUAAUACCGCAUACGUCCUACGGGAGAAAGCAGGGGACCUUCGGGCCUUGCGCUAUCAGAUGAGCCUAGGUCGGAUUAGCUAGUUGGUGAGGUAAUGGCUCACCAAGGCGACGAUCCGUAACUGGUCUGAGAGGAUGAUCAGUCACACUGGAACUGAGACACGGUCCAGACUCCUACGGGAGGCAGCAGUGGGGAAUAUUGGACAAUGGGCGAAAGCCUGAUCCAGCCAUGCCGCGUGUGUGAAGAAGGUCUUCGGAUUGUAAAGCACCUUAAGUUGGGAGGAAGGGUUGUAGAUUAAUACUCUGCAAUUUUGACGUUACCGACAGAAUAAGCACCGGCUAACUCUGUGCCAGCAGCCGCGGUAAUACAGAGGGUGCAAGCGUUAAUCGGAAUUACUGGGCGUAAAGCGCGCGUAGGUGGUUUGUUAAGUUGGAUGUGAAAGCCCCGGGCUCAACCUGGGAACUGCAUUCAAAACUGACAAGCUAGAGUAUGGUAGAGGGUGGUGGAAUUUCCUGUGUAGCGGUG